GACUGGGGAAGCAAGCACAAGGGCCAGGAGGGUGAAGGGGAAACCGAAGUCUUAACUCAGAUGGAGUCAGAAACUCAACAGCCAUAUUGGGAAGAUACUCAAGCAGUCCUAUGGAGUGUUUCACAUGACAAGGAACUGAGGGCCUCCUGCCAGCCACCAGCACUACCUUGCUAGACAUCUUUUUUUUUUCUCCCUUCUCUUCUGAGGUGUGGCUGACAGGAUCUUGGUGCUCUGGCUGAGUGUCAGUCCUGAGCCUCUGAGGUGGAAGAGCUGAGUUUAGGACAUUGGACCACCAGAGACAUCCUGGCCCCACAUAAUAUCAAUCAGCAAGAGCUCUCCCAGAGAUCUCCAUUUCAGCGCUGAGAUCCAGCUCCACUCAAAGACCAACAAGCUCCAGUGCUUGACACCGCAUGCCAAACAACUAGCAAGACAGGAAUACAACCCAACCCAUUAGCAGAGAGGCUGCCUAAAAUCAUAAAAAGUGCACAGACUCCCCAAAACACACCACCAGACACAGUCCUACUGACCAGAAAGACAACAUCCAGCCUCAUCCACCAUAACACAGGCACCAUAACACAGGCACCAGUCCCCCCCACCAGGAAGCCUACACAACACACUUAACCAACCUUACCCAUUGUGGGCAGACACCAAAAAUAAUGGGAACUACGAACCUGCAGCCUGCGAAAAGGAGACCCCAAACACAGUAAGUUAAGCAAAAUGAGAAGACAGAGAAAUACACAGCAGAUGAAGGAGAAAGGUAAAAACCCACCAGACCAAACAAAUGAAGAGGAAAUAGGCAGUCUAACUGAAAAAGAAUUCAGAGUAAUGAUAGGAAAGAUGACCCAACAUCUUGGAAAUAGAAUGGAGAAAAUACAAGAAAUGUUUAACAAGGACCUAGAAGAACUAAAGAGCAAACAAACAAUGAUGAAUGACACAAUAAAUGAAAUUAAAAAUUCUCUAGAAGGAAUCAAUAGCAGAAUAACUGAGGCAUAAGAACAGAUAAGUGACCUGGAAGAUAAAAUAGCAGAAAUAACUACUGCAGAGCAG
rnacentral:lncRNA from 1 species